ensembl:lncRNA
AUGUUACACAACAUCAGAACACAGCUCUUUGUAAGUGACUUGGUUUCAAACGCAUUGUUUCACUUACAGUACCCCCACCCCAGAAUCCCAAAAGGAAGUUCAAAAGGAGUGAUUCCCUCUUACGAAACCACAUCUCAUUGCCAGCUUUUCCUCAAUGAGAGCAAAGUAUUUCAAGUCCUACUAAAGAAGAGGUGGUUGUGUUCCACCGAGGGAAGAUUACAUAUCACGAUUUUCCUACAUUUUAGGGAACUCUUUACUGUAGCUGUCAAAGUGGUAUCAUCCCAAGUCAAGAAACACACCAGUGAAGAAUUACAGCUGUGGGGUGUAGGACAAGUGGAUCACUCAGACUAAACAGACAUGAAGGAAAUAAACGUCAGUCCGUCUGUCAUCUGCAGGUUGAAACGCACUGAAGGUAAGUUCUGCUUGAUGGUACACUGUUGUCAGCAUGCAUGUUUGAGGUUCUGUCACAUACCACCACCACACAUCCCUCAUAAAUACAUCAAAGUCAUCAAAGCUCAGCACAAUUGAUGUGGGAUGAAAAAUAUACAGCUUUCUGAGACUGUUACAACCUGGAAACUAAUACAGUUGAUGGGAUCCGGCUAGAUAAAAUGUUCUAAUUCAUUUAAUAUUUUUUUCAGAAAUGUUAGAAUUAUUAUUAUUUUAUUUUUAUUUUUGACUGAUUAGGAAACCGUGAGUUCUAAAGGUAUGUUUGUAGUACAUCAAGUACUAUUGAUAUGGAAGUAGAUUGAUUUAAUUGUUACAUGUACUUACUAUUAUAAUAACAAUAAAUUAUGCAUAAUUACAUGCAAGUAACCCUAAGACAAACCCUAAUCCUAACCCUAACCAUACAGUAAGUACAUGCAGUCAAUUAAUAUUGCUCAGUACUUAAAUGUAUAAUUACAAUGUAACAAUAGUUACACUAUAAGGGGAAAACAAUGAAAAAGGUACUUGAAAUGUUAAUUUUCUGCCAGGACUUUUUCUCAAUUAUUCAUAUCCAUUAUUCAUAGUUUAAUUAUGUCUCUCUCUAAAACACAAUUAAAGCAUAAUUCAAAAUACAGGUUGGGAAAUGAAUGAAUGAAUGAAUGAAUGAAUGAAUGAAUGAAUGAAUAAUUAAUUAAAUACAAAUUAUUAUAUGUUUAUUUAUUUACUUAUUUACUUAUUUAAAACUAGAUUGACCAGAUUAUUUGUGGAUUUGUCAAAAAUUGUGAAAUAUGGUUACACAGAUGCUGUGUUGUCACAACAGUUCUCCA